UGGUGACGGUGAUGAGUAUGUACAACUAGCUACGGACCAUAUAAUUGAUGAUGUAGUAGAGACAAUUGUUGCUACUAACUUAGCAGCAGAUACAUACAUGUGUGAAUAGAAAAUUUAUUUAAUAUGUUGCUUUAUCUGAAGGGUGCCUUUGUGCUUUAUCGCCUGUUUGAGAAGAAUGAUUUGAAGCAGGAUGAGCAUAUUGAGCGUUAAAUUUUGAUGAUGCUGAACUGAAUGCUACAGUUGCUGAUUUGGAUUGAUGCAGGGGCUUUCUACCUAUGUGCGGAUGAUGCUCUCAACACAAGCUCUUCUAAGUGCUAUAGGUGUUGGUGAGAAAUCCCCUACUGUUUUUGGGGCAACGUUUCAGUGGUUCUUGCGAGAUUUAACUGGUAUGGUUGGAGGCGU